rnacentral:rRNA from 1 species
CCUACGAGAGGCAGCAGUAGGGAAUAUUGCUCAAUGGGCGAAACCCUGAAGCAGCAACGCAGCGUGGAGGAUGAAGGUUUUCUGAUUGGAAACUCCUUUUGUUAUGGAAGUUAAUGACGGUAUGUACCGAAUAAGCAACGUCGAACACCGUGCAAGCAGCCGCUGGAAUACGCAGGGAGCAAGCGUUACUCGGAAUCACUGGGCGUAAAGAGCGCUUAGUCGGGUUAACAAGUAAGAUGUGAAAUGCUAUGGCUUAACCAUAGAAUUGCAGUUGAAACUGUCAUUCUUGAGUACGGUAGAGGUAGGUGGAAUUCUUGGUGUAGGGGUAAAAUGCUUAGAGAUCAAGAAGAAUACUCAUUGCGAAGGCGACCUGCUAGAACACAACUGACGCUGAUGCGCGAAAGUGUGGGGAGCAAACAGGAUUAGAUACCCUUGUAGUC